rnacentral:lncRNA from 1 species
CAUCAGCUUGGAGGGUGGAACCAGGGUCUGGGCAGAGAGGAGGCCUGAGGUGGGGUUUCCUUCUCCCACUUUGGCCCUUUAAACAGGCUGUCCUCCCUGCUUGGCCUGGCCUUCCUCUUCUUGUCCUGUCCAAGCCUUCAUGUUUUUAAGGCCCUGAUCACUGAUGUCCCCUGUCAGUCCUUCCUGAGCCACAGCCCAAUGCUGUCCUUACCCCAGAAUACCCACAGACCCCUGAGCUGCCUCAAUCUGGGUGGUCAGUGACCAGGUUGUGCAGGUUUCUGUUCUAGGUGUGGUGGUUAGACCCUGACUCCAAACUCCAUGCCUGCUGGGUGACCCUGGGCAUAUGACCUCACCUCUCUGUUUCUUCAUCUGCAGGAUGACAGUAGCAGCCCCAGUUUUCAGGGUUCUCUAGGGGAUUAAAUGAGGUUGUGCUUCUGAUAUAGCAAACCACACUGCCUCAGAAAGUCAUCCUGCUGGGACACACACGUCCAUGCAUGUCAUUCCCAUGAUUUGUGAGUCCCCUGAGAGCCGGGCCUCGUGUCUGGUGCUGACUUCAUGGUGAGGCAGGAUGGGGGUCUUGGUGAUUGCUUCUGAGUGCAUGGGCACCCCAUUCUACUCACGUGGGAUCCCUAAGGAAACCAACAACUGGAGCAGUGGUCACUAUGGGAUCCCUGCAUCAUCUUGUUUGAUGCUGACCACCCUGGGACAGGGGAUUAUUAGACCCAUUUUGCAGAGACUGAAACUGAGGCCUAGAGAGUCGAGGCUGCCUGUGUAAUGACCACUAGAGAAGUCGGGUUUGGCACCUGAGUCUGGCUGACGUUCUUGGGUGGGCCUCUGUCCUCUCAUGCCCCUUGCUAAUGGCCCAGACCCCUUCCCUCCCUCUUGGUGUCCUUGCCCAUGUCCAGGCCACCCCUGGAGUGCUGGGUGAGGGGAGUAGAUGUGGGGGCCCAGAGUGUUCUGUCAGUUCAUGAACCUGUGCCCUGUAACACACACACGUGUGCGUGUGUGUACAUGCGUGAACGCACACACGGUCUGUAGCUGGCACGUUCCUCCAGCCCUGUCUGCAGGUCGGUGUCCGGCCUGUCUUCACUGCCGGGAACCCGCCAAGGGCCCUGUGAAACGCUGCUCAGCGAUUCCUUGGCCUCAGCCUCCAGGCAGUCAGCACCCGGGAAGUGGGAUGGGUUCAGGGGCCCCCCACUCUGGCCCAGCGACUGGGCACAGGGGACUGGCAUGGGAGGAACCAGCACCGUCUGUCCAGGGUCAUCAGCAGGGGCACUGGGGGCCUCAGGCAGCCCACCCCUUGUGGGCUCUCUCCUUGUGUGUUGAGUGGCCUCACAGUCCCUCGUCCACUCUCUACCAGGCCAGGCUGGACAUGAGGCUCAUCUGGAAGGAGGGACGAAGAGGACUGAGGGGGAGAGCAGAAGUGCCAGGCGUCCCUGGUGGCUUCUGGUGGCCUUCAGAGGAGUCCACGAUGCUCCACCUGGCCAGCUGGAGAGGUGCAGCGUAGG